rnacentral:rRNA from 1 species
AUACGGAGGGUGCAAGCGUUGUUCGGAAUUAUUGGGCGUAAAGAGCAUGUAGGCGGACUGUUAAGUCUGGUGUGAAAGCCCGGGGCUCAACCCCGGAAGUGCAUUGGAUACUGGCAGUCUUGAGUAUGGGAGAGGAAAGUGGAAUUCCGAGUGUAGGAGUGAAAUCCGUAGAUAUUCGGAGGAACACCAGUGGCGAAGGCGGCUUUCUGGACCAAUACUGACGCUGAGAUGCGAAAGCGGGGGGAGCGAACAGGAUUAGAAACCCUAGUAGUCC